rnacentral:rRNA from 1 species
CUGAGACACGGCCCAGACUCCUACGGGAGGCAGCAGUGGGGGAUAUUGCACAAUGGGCGCAAGCCUGAUGCAGCGACGCCGCGUGAGGGAUGACGGCCUUCGGGUUGUAACCCUCUUUCAGUUGGGAAGAAGCCUUCGGGUGACGGUACCUUCAGAAGAAGCACCGGCUAACUACGUGCCAGCAGCCGCGGUAAUACGUAGGGUGCGAGCGUUAUCCGGAAUUAUUGGGCGUAAAGAGCUCGUAGGCGGUUUGUCACGUCUGCUGUGAAAGCUCGGGGCUUAACUCCGAGUGUGCAGUGGGUACGGGCAGGCUGGAGUGCAGUAGGGGAGACUGGAAUUCCUGGUGUAGCGGUGAAAUGCGCAGAUAUCAGGAGGAACACCGAUGGCGAAGGCAGGUCUCUGGGCUGUUACUGACGCUGAGGAGCGAAAGCAUGGGGAGCGAACAGGAUUAGAUACCCUGGUGUCCAUGCCGUAAACGUUGGGCACUAGGUGUGGGGAACAUUCCACGUUUUCCGCGCCGUAGCUAACGCAUUAAGUGCCCCGCCUGGGGAGUACGGCCGCAAGGCUAAAACUCAAAGGAAUUGACGGGGGCCCGCACAAGCGG